AGGACGAACGCUGGCGGCGUGCUUAACACAUGCAAGUCGAGGGCACUUUGGGGGCAACUCUGGAGUGACCGGCGAACGGGUGCGUAACACGUGAGCAACCUGCCCUUAGCUUCGGGAUAGCUCCGGGAAACCGGAAUUAAUACCGAAUAUGACUGCGGCUGACAUCAGCCACGGUGGAAAGUUUUUCGGCUAGGGAUGGACUCGCGGCCUAUCAGCUAGUUGGUGAGGUAACGGCCCACCAAGGCGACGACGGGU
rnacentral:rRNA from 1 species